rnacentral:lncRNA from 1 species
UUUUUCUCUUGCCACUUGAGCUCACUGUAAAAACUCUCCAUUUCCCGAAGCCGCUUCCUGAAGGUGAAUUCUGUUGCAACCCUCUGAGCGUCCAGUUCAUUGUUGGUCUGCAUGAGGAGGGUGAGCCAGGCCAGAAGAGGGUGUCAUGGCCUUGUGAGAUUGCUGUUUGAAGUCAGGGAAGGGCUAACAUGUGGUCAGUGUGGAAAGAAAGACAGAGGAAGGCACACAGAAAGGACUGACUGAAACACUGGUCUUACUCUUUGGGGAUGCGUGUGGGGUUGACUUUCAGAGAGAUGUUUGGGGAAGUGAGGUUGAGAGAGAGGCAGCCCCUGUCGAUCUCCAGUGUCUCCAUUUUGUCCCGGUGGUCAGAGUUGAGUUGCUGCCGAAUUUCCUGCAGGAGACUGGAGAAGGAGAAGACACUGGAGCCAUGGCUCCCAAGGACCAGGACGCGAGCCUCACUGGACUGCAGGGAUACUGAAGGAUCCGGGCCUCCUGGCGGAUUUGGUGGGAAGCAUCUCGCUGCCGCUCUGCAUUGGUGGACAAUAGGUAGCUGUUGGUGCGCCAGUCGGAGAGCCGGUAGCGUUCGCUGGGCUUGAAACUUAGUGUCGCCAUGGCUAAGGAGACGAAGGUCUGAACCCCUUAGGCCUGUUCCAGAUCGCCACCUGCAGAAGAAUAGAAAACCCGCCUUUUCUGGAUCCCCUCUCCCCAAACCUUGGCCUCUUGGCUCUAAGCCCUUUCCCGCAGAGUCUGCUGGGAAGGUUUCCAACUCAGCCCCCCUCCAACUCACCUCCUGUGAGGUAUUAGCAAUCAAGCUGUAUUUCCUCAGUGGUCUGUCUUCAGGCACAAAGCCCUGGAGCCUGCAGAUGCAAGGAUGCUCGUAAAGGAAAGGAUAGAUAGUUGUGCUGCUAAGCAACUUGAGGUAAAGGCAUUAAAAGGGUUAGACUGUAAGAAGUGAGAAUAAACAAUGGUGAUGCAUCUUCUACAGGAGACUGCAAAAAAGCAGCGGCUGGCUCCCUAGUGUACAAUGGUGCUGCGUUCUUUGACAGUGUAAACGAUUUUCCUUGGAUCAACAUAAGGACCUGACCUCUACAUAGUACUGGCUUCUGUAUGGCUGGAGGCCUCCCC